rnacentral:lncRNA from 7 species
CAUUCCAAGGAAAGCAGUCAACAAAACCAACAAAACCAACAAAAAAAAUUAGAUAUGGCCAUGUUGCUUCUAUCCCUUACUGAUGUAGCACUGCUGUUCCAUCACCAUUUUGAUUCUUCUGCCUCCUUCUCAUCUUCUGCUUGGAGGACCCCACUUAACUAAGUUUCCAGUUUUCAAAAACCUAAAUCUGCUGUGAACAGAUCUGCUCUCCCUUCAACUUUGCUUGGAUGCAACUCAGUGUAGCUCCAACCACAGUCAUGAAGAGACUAAAUCUGUCACAAAAGCAAUCUACCGCUCUGUUUUCCAAGUCUCUUAGGUUUCAUGGACUACUGCAGAGGUGUUCAGUCAGAUAAGGAGAUCCACGGAGAAAAACUGAACUCUCAAGCUCCCAGUUAUGUGGCCAAGAGGACAUCAAAAUGAAAACACAAACAGGAGUCCUCAAAAUUUUGCCAGCUGAAGAAACACCAUACUAAGCAUCUUAACCAUUUGUGAUUCUAGUUGUGCAACUACUGAUAUUACUGGAGAAGAAGCAUUCAAAAUGAAAAAUUAAGGAAUCAUGAAUUCUGAUUCAUCUUGAACAAGCCGAUAUGAACACAACAGUCAACAACAAUUUUCACUACAGCAAUAAAUAAAUAAAUAAAU